CAUUCUCUCUUCUCUUUCCAGCACUCACCAUCUCAGUACAAUAUCUCCAUUUCUCUCUCUUUCUCUUCACUCACUUCUUCCCUUCACUUCACCAUAAGUCACUGGUAGGUUUUUCUCAGGUAUCAUCACCAUUUAGUCACAAGAUAUUAGACGGUUGCUUCGCCUCCACUGUUCAGAGAUGGGCUCAACAGUUUAAUUAGCUAUUUUGGUCAGGUGUCUCUGCCUUCAUCUUCCAAGUAUUGCAAAACAGAAAAUCAGUCAACAAAAUACUAAGAAUAGGUCUGCAUCGGAUAUGGGAAUGCCUCAUCGGACAGGGAGUAGGCCACAUAGAGAAAUCAUAUAUGAAAAUGGAGGUAAAGAUUCAACACCACCUGACUUGGGAGUAAUUUUCUUAAAGACUAGAUGCAAAAAUGAAAAACUAGACGGGACAAGAGAAAAAGAAAAAUAUGAUGAAAUUGUGAAGACUAUUAUGUCCGAUCCAUCACUUUCAAACCUUGAGAUUGUUGAAAAACAUUUUGGACAGCAGCGCCACGGUCAUGUAUAUGGUUAUGGGGGUGGAGUAAAGCGAAAAAAUUUUAAUGAUUCUAAAUCUACUUAUAUCAAAGAGUUAGAGGCUAAGCUCCAUGAGAAGGAUGAAGAAAACCGUAACCUUAAGAGGCGCAUGGAUGUAUUUGAAAGUAGGUUGAUCCGAAUAGAGAAUGGAGAUUUAUCAUCUCUUGGAACUACAACUAGUGAUGACAUUCAAGAGGAUGCAUAGAACCCAAGAUAUUAACAUUGUUUCUUUUGACUUUAGUAUUAAGGUAACUUCUAUUGAUUAUUUUAACUAACAAUGUGCUUUUGGAUGAUGUGACAAAGCUAUUGAUGAAAAAUGGCAUGCCGAACACCGCAUCGAAAGUAAAUAUUUUUGUGUAUGAAGUUGAUUGUACAUUUUUGCUUUGGGGUUGUUUUUGUCUAAACUAAAAAUGUUUAUUUGUACAGUCUCACCUUUCAAAAUAGCCAAUAGAUACAUUACUAUGGCUAUUUGUUAACUAUAAUUAGUUUCUUUGCGUUUAGUCUGUACAAAGUUCUGUGAAACAUUUCAUUUUGGUAGUGAUGAUGAAGUCUUUUAAUAUAUUGAUAAGUUUACUUUGA